GCUCCGGUAGCCUAGUGGUUAGAGCAUCCGCCUCGGAUGCAGGAGGUCGCGGGUUAGAACUACGUCCAAGUCA